UUCGGGUCUAGUGGCGCACGGGUGCGUAACGCGUGGGAAUCUGCCCUUGGGUCCGGAAUAACAGUUAGAAAUGGCUGCUAAUACCGGAUGAUGACGUAAGUCCAAAGAUUUAUCGCCCAGGGAUGAGCCCGCGUAAGAUUAGCUAGUUGGUGGGGUAAAGGCCUACCAAGGCAACGAUCUUUAGCUGGUCUGAGAGGAUGAUCAGCCACACUGGGACUGAGACACGGCCCAGACUCCUACGGGAGGCAGCAGUGG
rnacentral:rRNA from 1 species